GGGGCGGCGAGCGCAGGUUUCCCGCGCGAUUCCGAGGAAUCAAACCGGCUUGUUCCUCUGUGGCUGAAAGUCAUGGAUAGACUGACGGAGUCCUCGAAAGAAUACCAGAGGAUGACAGCGAAUAUCGAGAAACUUACUGAAGAAUCUUUUCAGCUGGCUUCGCACCAGAAAAAAAUGGUGGAACACAAUGUUGUGCUUGCAAAGCUUUGCCAUAAUUUCGAUGAGGUUCAGUCAAGACUGGAACGAGUAGCAGCAGUGAAACCUGGUUGCACAUUACUGAAGCAUUAACUUUCUUGAAAAUAUCAAGUUUCAAAACACAAGGUUGUAGAAUUAACUUGCAACAUAUGUGACAUACAAGUUCACUUUUGAUGCAAGUGAAUUUUCAAUGCAAUUUCUUUUACAUUUAAUUGCUGUUCACAUGAAAUGUUAUUUAUCUUUCACAAUUCUGAAUCUGUGCUGCGAUUGAAAUGGUGCAAUAAAUUUUA